ensembl:lncRNA
GUUUACAUUCCUGACGAUGCAACCUCGACGCAGCCGCCACAGGAAUGUCGUCCCGUUGUUUUCUUCGGGCUCAGUGUGUCGCGCACGUGUCGUGUCACCAACGGGCUACAACUGUAUUUUUGUUUUGCGCCGCCCUUUGUUUUGCGCCAUGAUACUCGACAAGUGACUGUAACUCCUCUCGUGAAGCCCAGAUGUUUAGCGGUCUCAGCACAGUGACCUUCAUCAUGGAGGAGGAGCAGGUGACGGAGCACUGAAAACAGAGUUUAAAAGCUCCUCAAACAAAGACAAAUGACUUAUCUGGUGCUUUGUCUUAUUUAAUAAAGUCUUCCCUCUGGUUUUGGUUCGUUGUUAAAGGUAAGUUAGCGCUGCGGGCUAGAAAAUACGGCCUGUGCUUCACUCCAAUUAUUAUCCAGCAUGCUGAAGGAGAUCAAACUGAUCAACUGGUCCUCGUAAAGUAGACACGCCUGAGACAGCUUCCACGGUGAGAAUCAGACUGAAAGCUUGUGGGGGAAACACACUUCGACGUGAAACAUCUGACACUGAGUGGCGGCUGCUGGUAAGAAGUGUUAAAAAUAUUCAGGUUUUAGUGAAGAUAAAUAUGUUUGUGAAGUAGGUGAACAUUUUAAGUGGACAAAUGACCCUUAGAAAACUGCAGCCCUGACUCUUUUAUUGUUUUAUACAAACCGCCCAGUCUGUGACCUCCGGUUCUUUAAAGUGAGUUCAUUGCUUCAUGUGCCGAAGCUGCAUUCUCUGUAGUGACCAGCAGGGGGCGACUCCUCUGCUCCCAUAGACGUCGAUGAGGAAAUGACUCUACUUCUCUGUAGUGACCAGCAGGGGGCGACUCCUCUGCUCCCAUAGACGUCUAUGAGGAAAUGACUCUACUUCUCUGUAGUGACCAGCAGGGGGCGACUCCUCUGCUCCCAUAGACGUCUAUGAGGAAAUGACUCUACUUCUCUGUAGUGACCAGCAGGGGGCGACUCCUCUGCUCCCAUAGACGUCUAUGAGGAAAUGACUCUACUUCUCUCUUGAUUUAUUC